rnacentral:rRNA from 1 species
UACGUAGGGGGCCAGCGUUGCUCGGAAUUACUGGGCGUAAAGGGUCCGUAGGCGGUGCGGUAAGUCGGGAGUGAAAUCUCUGGGCUUAACUCAGAGGCUGCUUCCGAAACUGCCGUGCUCGAGUGCGAGAGAGGCGAGUGGAAUUGCGGGUGUAGCGGUGAAAUGCGUAGAUAUCCGCAGGAACAUCCGAGGCGAAAGCGGCUCGCUGGAUCGCAACUGACGCUGAGGGACGAAAGCUAGGGGAGCAAACAGG